CGCGCGGCGGUAGGCGUCGGAGUGGAUCGUCGCCUCGGUGGCGAUGACGGCAAUGACGCCGCCGGCGGCCGCUUCGACCGCGGCCCGCGCGCCC
rnacentral:tRNA from 1 species